GUGCACCAGGCGAGAAUCUUCGGCAAUGGGCGAAAGCCUGACCGAGCGACGCCGCGUGCGGGAAGAAGGCCUUCGGGUUGUAAACCGCUUUCUCAGGGAACAAUCCCGCUUUAGCGGGAUGAGGGUACCUGAGGAAUAAAGGGGGGGCGGUAAUACACCGUGCCACGCAGCAGCGGUAAGUAACGUGACCCCCGACGCGUUA
rnacentral:rRNA from 1 species